GGGUGAGUAACGCGUGGGAACGUGCCCUCUUCUGCGGGAUAGCCACUGGAAACGGUGAGUAAUACCGCAUACGCCCUCUGGGGGAAAGAUUUAUCGGAGGAGGAUCGGCCCGCGUUGGAUUAGGUAGUUGGUGGGGUAAUGGCCUACCAAGCCGACGAUCCAUAGCUGGUUUUAGAGGAUGAUCAGCCACACUGGGACUGAGACACGGCCCAGACUCCUACGGGAGGCAGCAGUGGGGAAUCUUAGACAAUGGGCGCAAGCCUGAUCUAGCCAUGCCGCGUGAGUGACGAAGGCCCUAGGGUCGUAAAGCUCUUUCGCCUGUGAAGAUAAUGACGGUAGCAGGUAAAGAAACCCCGGCUAACUCCGUGCCAGCAGCCGCGGUAAUACGGAGGGGGUUAGCGUUGUUCGGAAUUACUGGGCGUAAAGCGCACGUAGGCGGAUCAGAAAGUUGGGGGUGAAAUCCCGGGGCUCAACCCCGGA
rnacentral:rRNA from 1 species